GCUCGUGUCGUGAGAUGUUGGGUUAAGUCCCGCAACGAGCGCAACCCUUGUUUUUAGUUGCCUUUUAAGGAACUCUAGAAAGACUGCCGGUUAUAAACCGGAGGAAGGCGGGGAUGACGUCAAGUCAGCAUGCCCCUUACACCCUGGGCUACACACGUGCUACAUUGGGCGAGACAAUGAGAUGCAAACCUGUGAAGAUUAGCUAAUCUAUAAACUCGUUCUAAGUUCGGAUUGUAGGCUGCAACUCGCCUACAUGAAGGUGGAAUCGCUAGUAAUCGCUGGUCAGCUACACAGCGGUGAAUCCGUUCCCGGGCCUUGUACACACCGCCC
rnacentral:rRNA from 1 species